rnacentral:rRNA from 1 species
AGUGAACGCUGGCGGCAGGCCUAAUACAUGCAAGUCGAACGGCAGCACAGCAGAGCUUGCUCUGUGGGUGGCGAGUGGCGGACGGGUGAGGAAUACAUGGGAAUCUGCCCAGUCGUGGGGGAUAACGUAGGGAAACUUACGCUAAUACCGCAUGCGCCCUUCGGGGGAAAGCCGGGGACCUUCGGGCCUGGCGCGAUUGGAUGAGCCCAUGUCGGAUUAGCUAGUUGGCGGGGUAAUGGCCCACCAAGGCGACGAUCCGUAGCUGGUCUGAGAGGAUGAUCAGCCACACUGGAACUGAGACACGGUCCAGACUCCUACGGGAGGCAGCAGUAGGGAAUAUUGGACAAUGGGCGCAAGCCUGAUCCAGCCAUGCCGCGUGAGUGAAGAAGGCCCUCGGGUUGUAAAGCUCUUUGUCCGGAAAGAAAGCGCCGGGUUAAUACCCUGGUGUCCUGACGGUACCGGAAGAAUAAGCGACCGGCUAACUUCGUAGCCAGCACGG